rnacentral:rRNA from 1 species
GACGAACGCUGGCGGCGUGCUUAACACAUGCCAGUCGAACGGAAAGGCCCUGCUUUUGUGGGGUGCUCGAGUGGCGAACGGGUGCGUAACACGUGAGUAACCUGCCCUUGACUUUGGGAUAACUUCAGGUAACUGGGGCUAAUACCGGAUAGGAGCUCCUGCUGCAUGGUGGGGGUUGGAAAGUUUCGGCGGUUGGGGAUGGACUCGCGGCUUAUCAGCUUGUUGGUGGGGUAGUGGCUUACCAAGGCUUUGACGGGUAGGCGGCCUGAGAGGGUGACCGGCCACAAUGGGACUGAGAUACGGCCCAGACUCCUACGGGAGGCAGCAGGGGGGAAUAUUGCACAGUGGGCGGAAGCCUGAGGCAGCAACGCCGCGUGCGGGAUGACGGCCUUCGGGUUGUAAACCGCUUUCGCCUGUGACGAAGCGUGAGUGACGGUAAUGGGUAAAGAAGCACCGGCUAACUACGUG